AGCAGCUGUGGGUGUUGGAUACUUUUCCUGGCGAAGUGAGGGCUGAAAACAGUGAUGGUGGAGUAGAGAUUCUUCUGCAGUUCUUGCAAAGUUUACCUUCACAAGUCCCAUCUCAAAAGUGGCUUGUGAACCACAUGAUUGAGCUUUGGAUUCCCCAAAACCAGUGUCAGAGUGGAUCGGAAGCAACCUCAAGGAACCUGGAGAGCAUGAAACAUGGGCCUUUAAUCUUGAAGGUGCUGCAGAUGUUUAAUUCUUACCGGGAGACUUCUAAUUGGCCACUAUUGGAGCACCUUCCGGCUUCCACAAGGGAUGGAGAUAGAUAUUGUAUGAGCGGAGAAGAGUGACAUAUUGGAGCCAGAUGUGAUUCAGCGGCUUGAAGGCCUUGCAAGUAAAGUGAGAGAUGGACGGGAGGAUAAAGUUUCCGUACAUGUUCUACCCAAUUCAGGUCAUUGGGUUCAUGUGGACAAUCCUUAAGGGCUUCUUUAGAUUAUGGCUACUAAGUUAGCCUCUACUUAACCAUAUUUUAGUUUAGACAUCAGCAAAUAUAUAGAUAGCAUUUUCGCGAUUUAAUAUCCUAUCUUUAUUUCGUCAUAAAAUCUUGUUCACCUUCACUCAGGAUUUUGUUGAAUGAUCUGAUGAGUUGCCUACUUGCCUUUAUGUGACCUCAAAUAUCUGUUCACCUUCUGGGUUGAUUUACUAGUUAUGGCUUUCUUUAGUCUUAA